AUUGAACGCUGGCGGCAGGCCUAACACAUGCAAGUCGAACGAGUGGCGGACGGGUGAGUAAUGUCUGGGAAACUGCCCGAUGGAGGGGGAUAACUACUGGAAACGGUAGCUAAUACCGCAUACCAUCGGAUGUGCCCAGAUGGGAUUAGCUUGUAGGUGAGGUAACGGCUCACCUAGGCGACGAUACCUAGCUGGGCUGAGAGGAUGACCAGACACACUGGAAUGGAGACACGGUCCAGACUCCUACGGGAGGCAGCAGUGGGGAAGAGUGAACAAUGGGCGAAAUCCGUAUGCAGCCAGGCCGCGUGUAGGAAGAAGGACUGCGGGUUGUAAAGUACUUUCAGCGGGGAGGCGUUACCCGCAGAAGAAGCACCGACUAACUCCGUGCCAGCAGCCGCGGUAAUAC
rnacentral:rRNA from 1 species